UUAGACCUAUUUGGAUACACUAGUGGUGCACAUCCCUCGUCUUGCCUUCCUUAACCUUUCAAACUCAUUCAAUCACCAAAUAGCUUUUGAUUUCAUCCUUUUAGGGCAGCCUAUAGUCCAGGAUUGGUAUAACAUACUUCCAAUUGCAAGUUUUGAUAGGUUAGGGAUCGAUCGGUCUGCUGUGAGCUUGUUCAACUUUGUGCUGAGUUGAUGCAGAUUGAACAGACCCUCUGUCCAGAUAGAACAGGUAGCAGAACCAUCAUAAGUAUAAGCAGUGCAAGAGAAAUUGUUGAAACAUGCAGAUCUACACUGUGAGGCUUCCCCAACUGUGAUAUUAGUAUCUUGAGAAGCAGGUUGCAUUAGCUUCAUCACAAACUCCAAAUGCCCCACAUUUAGCAUAAACCUCACAAAAUUGUCUUGGUUGAGACCAGAAUAGAUUCCAUCCAAAGCCACCAUCAUCGGGCAACCAUGUUUGUUGCUGAAUUUGUCCCGA